GGGGAUGUUUUGGUUUCGACGGGUGCGCACGUAGCAGGCUGCGUGUCAAGCUCCCCCGUAUCGCUUGCGAAUCUCGCGGGGAACCCAUAACUGCGAACGACUACUCGUACGCGCUCGCCGCGUAAGGACACCAACCCUCCUUACGCCUGCGGGCUGUCUCUACGUCCAAGUUCCUGACCGGGGACGAUAGAGGCAUGGUCUAUGUCAGGAUGGACGCUGCGGCCCGGAUCGGGCAACGGGCGUCGAGAACCAACCGAUCUGCUGCACGGCUGGCCAUGACCGAGGGCGUCCGCCGUGCCUAAGACCAAACUCGGUCUACACAUCGUAGACGCCUGAUCUGGCGACGCAUUCGGACCCGAGUUCGAAUCUCGGCAUCUCCACUU
rnacentral:tmRNA from 1 species